rnacentral:tRNA from 1 species
GGAGAGGUGACCGAGAGGCCGAAGGUGGCUGCCUGCUAAGCAGUUGUACGUGUAAUCCAUGUACCGCGGGUUCGAAUCCCGCCCUCUCCGCCA